AAGAGUUAAGUGGAUUUUCAAACACAUCACCGAAACAGAACGUUCAGUAUAUUUAUGGCCAUACAUCCUGGAUUGGUGUAUGUUCUAUGAGCUGGAACAACCUGCAGAAACUGAGGUGUGGGCUGGACACGUGGGCUGCAAAUUAUCCACCAUCUAUCUAUCCCUCAAUUGCUUGGAACCCUCAUAUGAGAUUGGGCAGGGAUUGACAGCAUUUGGCUUACUGUUCUCAUUCUUGGGAAUCAUUUAUUUU